rnacentral:rRNA from 1 species
UACGAAGGGAGCUAGCGUUGUUCGGAAUCACUGGGCGUAAAGAGCGUGUAGGCGGCUUUACAGGUCCGUUGUGAAAACUCGAGGCUCAACCUCGAGACGCCGGUGGAAACCGUAAGGCUAGAGUCCGGAAGAGGAGAGUGGAAUUCCUGGUGUAGCGGUGAAAUGCGCAGAUAUCAGGAGGAACACCCGUGGCGAAAGCGGCUCUCUGGGACGGUACUGACGCUGAGACGCGAAAAGCGUGGGGAGCAAACAGG